rfam:Oryza nivara chromosome 2, whole genome shotgun sequence.
AAAAAGACAAACCAUGGUUCCGUAUCCAACGUUUGACUAUCCGUCUUAUAUAAAAAUUUUUUAUAAUUAGUAUUUGCAUUGUUGUUAGAUGAUAAAAAUAUGAUUAAUACUUUAUGCAUGACUUGUCUUUUUAAUUUUUUUUCAUAUUUUUUUCAAAUAAAACGGACAGUCAAACGUUGGACACGGAAACCCAGGGUUUGUCUUUUU